GAAAUAGAAAACCAACAACUAAAUCUUCUCUAACACCAUGAUUUUCUAAUCUGUAUUAAAGCGUUCCAGGGUAGAAGUAAGACAUAUCAAGAUUUAAAACAUAAAUAGCUUGGAACACCCUGAAGAGCAACAUGGGAGAAACUGAGAAAAGAAUUGAAACCCAUAGAAUAAGAUGUCUUUCCAAGUUGAAGCUGAGAAACCCUGAAAAUACUCUGUCCUGGGCUUAUAUGCCUUAGACACAACUGGGAUUGCUGAGCUCAAGGGUUGCAGAGCAUCCUACUAUGGGAAGAAUGAGGACAUAACUCAGAUUGUUCUGGAUAUUUCCCUCAUUGCUGAGAAUGCAGAAUGUUUCUGACCAAGAAUUGCAAGCAAGAACAGGAAAGAGUGGAGUCGGCCAAGAUGUUUCUGUUGGCAAUAACAUGUGCAUUUGUAUCCAAAACACUGUCUGGAUCUUAUAUGAAUUCCAUGCUCACACAAAUAGAGAGACAAUUCAACAUCCCAACAUCUCUAGUUGGAUUCAUUAAUGGAAGCUUUGAGAUUGGAAAUCUUUUGUUGAUUA
rnacentral:lncRNA from 1 species